rnacentral:rRNA from 1 species
UACGAAGGGGGCUAGCGUUGCUCGGAAUCACUGGGCGUAAAGCGCACGUAGGCGGAUCUUUAAGUCAGGGGUGAAAUCCUGGAGCUCAACUCCAGAACUGCCUUUGAUACUGGGGAUCUCGAGUCCGGAAGAGGUGAGUGGAACUCCGAGUGUAGAGGUGGAAUUCGUAGAUAUUGGGAAGAACACCAGUGGCGAAGGCGGCUCACUGGCCCGUAACUGACGCUGAGGUGCGAAAGCGUGGGGAGCAAACAGG